UCUGGUGUCAGCCGCCGCGGUAAAACCAGCACCUCGAGUGGUCAGGAGGUUUAUUGGGCCUGAAGCAUCCGUAGCCGGUUGUUUAAGUUUUCGGUUAAAUCUAUGCGCUUAACGUAUAGGCUGCCGAAAAUACUGGACAGCUAGGGAGUGGGAGAGGUACACGGUACUCAAUAGGAAGGGGUAAAAUCCUUUGAUCUGUUGAUGACCACCUGUGGCGAAGGCGGUGUACCAGAACACGUUCGACGGUGAGGGAUGAAAGCUGGGGGAGCAAACCGGAUUAGAUACCCGGGUAGUCCCAGCUGUAAACGAUGCAAACUCGGUGAUGCAUUGGCUUGUGGCCAAUGCAGUGCCGCAGGGAAGCCGUUAAGUUUGCCGCCUGGGAAGUACGUACGCAAGUAUGAAACUUAAAG
rnacentral:rRNA from 2 species